CUUUCCUUCCCUCCAAUGUAUUGACUGCACCACUCAUCAUUAAGUUAACGAACUGCUACAAAUAUCGCAGCCUUUGCAAGCAUGAUUUAUUCUUUCCUAACUGCAAACUUUCUUGUGCAGUCUGAGAUAUAUGCAGUAUAUAUAGAGCUUUUCCUAUAAUUACAACUGUAUGGGCUGAAAGUACAGAACUAGAGAUUAUAGUGCUACUUCUUCAAAGGACAGGGUAUUAGCUUUCUCUCUGUAGACUCUGGUUGCACAGUUGAGUGUCACAUCACAAUUUAAUAGCCCUACUGAAGUUCAUCGUGUUUUAAACACCUAAAAUAAUAUCUUUACAUGAGUAUGAACAUAAAGUGAGCCACAGUUUUUCUGGCACUGCUCACCCAAGGAGACAUAUCUCUUCAGGAUUCCAAUGUGCACCCAGUGUAUUAAGGGUGCGUAUUUCCCUGUGAAAGUGAAACUAGACAGAAUGCUGUUCAAAGAAUAAAGAGAGGUGACAUCAUUCUAUUCGCCUACUAAAUUAGAAGUUUACUCAUUCGCCUUCAUGUCUCAGCUGACCCGAUCUGGAUUUUAACCAGCAAGUAAACAAGUCCCAUUAACAACACUAUUCAACACCACUUCUAGCAAGAUUCCAAUAUGCCUGCAGUUAAACAUUAUUUCAGACAACCAGUGUCCAGUCACUGACUUAAAAACUGUUUUUUUGCAUUUGCCACUUGGAUAAGCAGAAGGACAAAUAAAAAUCUUAUGAAGAAAAAGAAAGACAGCUGCGAAGGGUGCAAUUGGAUCAACUUCAGAAUAAGUCUGUGGAACAGAGUGGCAUUUGCAAAGGCACUGAAGCUCUCUCAUGGCAUCAGGAUGGUGGUGGUGACAGAGCCAUCUGUCCUGUCUUUUUUGCCCUUUCCUGUCUGCCAUUAAUUUUCCAUGAAGGCUCCAAGCGACAGUCUCCUCAUAGUGACCAUACUUGGAAACAAGGUGUAUGACAGGCAGGGGGAGAAUGACAACAAUCCCCACGAGCCCCCUUGUUACAGCUUGGGAAAAAAUAGCUGAGAGUUUGUAAAGUAGUGAAGAAGAGGUGAAAACUGAGGAGAUCUGCUGACAGGAGGAUUCAACAGGCACGCAAUCCCUUGUUACGUGUGCCUUUGAAUUGUGGUGCGGGAAUGGAGGCGUGCUUCUUGUGCACACGCUGCCGACAGUAAACAAGGGAGUAUUUCUGCAGCAGCUGUGUAUUUUCUAGGUUUUCUCCCAGAUCCUCACACCAAGCAGAAGAGUUACAACUCCCAUGUAGUGAUCACCACAGAGGACGUUGAUGGCUUGAUGGCUUGGGCACGUGGCAGCUGUAUAAGAGGGCAAAGAUUGAUGGUUGUAUGGGAGCUCCUGAAUCACGGCCUGAACAUCUGACUGAUCAGCUGAGGCAAGCAGAGUCAGCCAUGGGAGCACAGGUGAAGUCAAUUCACCUGUGUGACCAGAAGGGGUGGAGCCUGGCUGCACCUCUCCUUGACCUCCCAUAGAAGGGCUGAGUACAAUGGGGGAAGGGUUUUUUUCUAGAGAUUGCUAUUCUUGGAGUUUUUCCUGUGAGCCUACAACAUGGGUGAGCAUUUUCCAGUUAUUUCCAACGAUAAUCUUUCUAGUUAUACUAUCUGUGGAUAGCAAUCUGACCACACUACUCAGUAUAUUUGUUGACUAUACAAUGGUGUUAUCUUGCCUCAUCUACUUCACUCCUCUGGAAGAUUCUGGAAAAACUUAGGUUUCCAUCCGGAAAGUAUGACCCUGCUUGACUCACGCCCAGGAUUCAUUUAGAUGACAUACUUAAAAACCUGCAGAAAACUCAGAUCUGAAUUCAAGACUGGGGAGUGAUGAGAGUGAAGUUUUGUUCACAGCUAAUGUCUGGAGAUGCCAGUGACUAGGUAGCUUUGUAGAAAGUGUCAAUGCAGAAUACUAAACUAAGGCUGACUGUUCUGCCUAUGUUAAGGCAGGCUGUCCUUUGAACUCUGUUUCAACUUUUUACAGGUACACAAGAGAUUUGGGCUGAAUCAAAGUAAUCUGGCUUACUCACGAUGUCCUCUUGCAAAGAGCUGACUACUGAAACAUUGCUUGACUACUGAAAGUUAAGGGUUCUGAGCGGCGCCGGCAAUGGUGGAGAUGGUGGCAGUGGGUGGAAG
ensembl:lncRNA